GAACUUAAGCAUAUCAAUAAGCGGAGGAAAAGAAACCAACAGGGAUUACCUCAGUAACGGCGAGUGAAGCGGUAACAGCUCAAAUUUGAAAUCUGGCCUCACGGUCCGAGUUGUAAUUUGUAGAGGAUGUUUCGAACGUGGUCCGGUCUAAGUUCCUUGGAACAGGACGUCAUAGAGGGUGAGAAUCCCGUAUGCGACUGGGUGCCUAAGUUCAUGUGAAACUCCUUCGACGAGUCGAGUUGUUUGGGAAUGCAGCUCAAAAUGGGUGGUAAAUUUCAUCUAAAGCUAAAUAUUGGCCAGAGACCGAUAGCGCACAAGUAGAGUGAUCGAAAGAUGAAAAGCACUUUGGAAAGAGAGUUAAACAGUACGUGAAAUUGUUGAAAGGGAAGCGCUUGCAACCAGACUUGCACGCAGUUGAUCAUCCGGUAUUCUUACCGGUGCACUCGAUUGUGUUCAGGCCAGCAUCGGUUUUGGUGGUUGGAUAAAGGCCUUGGGAAUGUAGCUUCUUUCGGGAAGUGUUAUAGCCCUCGGUGCAAUGCAGCCUACCGGGACCGAGGACCGCGCUUCGGCUAGGAUGCUGGCGUAAUGGUUGUAAGCGACCCGUCUUGAAACACGGACCAAGGAGUCUAACAUCUAUGCGAGUGUUUGGGUGUCAAACCCAUACGCGUAAUUAACGUGAACGGAGGUGAGAACCCUUAAGGGUGCAUCAUCGACCGAUCCUGAUGUCUUCGGAUGGAUUUGAGUAAGAGCAUAGCUGUUGGGACCCGAAA
rnacentral:rRNA from 1 species